GUGUUUUGCUUUAUUUUAGUGAUUUUCAUAACACUACUUUGCUGCGGCUUCGCAUUUCUUAUAAGAAAGAAGAAACGGUUGCAGGAAAACUGAUGGGGUUAAACUUAAAGUUGCUGAGAGGGGGAAAGAGAGGGUAGUGCUUCAUACAGCACUUACCAGAAUAAAUCAACCACUCCAGAGCAGACUCACUAAAUGGUUUCCACAAAUGAGUGUAACACAUUGUCUUUUGGUUCUGGUAAAAUGUCAAGAUUUACAUUAAAUUUGUAUAGCUACUAUGAAAACAGUGUGAAGGUUCCUCAAAAAAUUAAAAAUAGAUCCAUAUGAUCCAGCAAUCCCACUUCUGGUUAUAUAUCCGAAGGAAAUGAAAUCACUCUGUGGAAGAGAUAUCUGUACCUCCCUGGUUAUUGCAGCAUUAUUUACAAUAACGAAGACAUGGAAACAACCUAAGUGUCCACCGACGGAUCAGUGGAUAAAGAAAAUGUGGAAUACAUAUACAGUGGAAUACUCCAGCCAUAAAUAAGAAGUCCUGACAUUUGUGACAACGUGGAUGGACCUUGAAGGCAUUUUGCUAAGUGAACUAAAUCAUAGAAAGACAAAUAGUGUGUGAUCUCACUUAUGUGUGGAAUCUAUAAAAAACCUAAUGAAAAAUGAGAUUUGUGGUUGCUGGGGGUGGGGGUGGCAGGGUGAGGGAAUUGAGUGAAGGUGGUAAAAAGAUACAAGCUUCUAGUUCUAAGCACGUAUUGGGAUGUAAUGUACAGCACGGUGACUGUAAUUAGUAAUACUCUAUUGCAUAUUGGCAAGUUCCUAAGAGAUCUUAAAAAUUCUGAUCACAAGGAAGAAAAAACAUUUUGUAAUUGUGAGGUCAUGGAUGUUAACUAAACUUAUGGUAAUCAUUUCAUAAUAUACACAUUAUCAAAUCAUGCUGUAUACCUUAAAUGUAUAUAUUAUGUAUAUUGUAAAAAGCCUGUACAGAUUUGUGUAUACUACUUCAGCCCUUAAAAAUAAGCUCACUGAAAAUUGGGAAUUUGGACAAGUUUGACUUCCUUAACUAAGAGUAUUCUUGGAAGUACUCUUAAGUAAAUAUAGGCUAGAAUUCUAUUUUAAAAAAAUUAUUUGUAACUUACUGAUUUGAAAAAGACAUAAAAUUAAUUUAUGGAAUUUGUUCUUCACCUUUUUUAAUACCAAUAAGCCAGUCUGAGAAGUCGGUGAGAACUGGGAAUCAGUUGCAUGCUUACUUCUGUAACACUUAGACGGCUCUCACCCCCGGAACAACGAUGCCAGCUUGGUACAAAGUGAGCGCUGUGGCCUUGUCGUUUGCUUAAGGAGAAUUCCACUCUUCAAGAGACAGAGAAUCACUCUGAACUAGGAAGGGAUGAAAAAGGGCCUAGCUCAGGUAUCACUUUGUGCUCAGGUGGAAUAGAUCCCUCCCUCUUCUGAGUCCUCAUGCCAGGCAGAGUCACUUUCAAAUGAGCCAGCGGGCAAAGAGGAGGGACUGCCACUCUAAUGCAAAUCACAUUUUUACAAGUUUUCUUUUAUACUUUUAUAUUAGCAGCUCAUGGGCCAAAGAAGCAUUGCCUUGAGAAGGACAUGGUUGGGGAAGCAGAGUGGACCAGAGUAAAUACUGUUUUACUCUAUAAAGACAUGUUUAUAAUGCACCAUAAGUGUUCCCUCCCUUUGUAAUUGCUGGUGAGGAACUUAGGAAGUUAUGUUUGAGCAGAAAUAAACUGUAAUUCUGAAUUAAAUAUAGAGAAGUUUUACUGCACCCAUUUUCACGUACUUAUUUCUAAGAAAUAUAUGGUGAUGGAAGAAUUGACUUUGGGCAGUGAACACACAGUGCAUUGUAUAAAUGUUGUAUUAUAGAACAGUGGGAAAGUUGAAAACUAUAGAAAACUUGUACACUUGAAAACUAAUUUUACUUGCCAAUGUCACCCCAAUUAAUAAAAAUUUAAAGAAAUAAUUUAAAAAAUUGGCACUUGUAUAGAAGCAGGCUGUAGUAUUUAUUUUUUUUAAGUCUAAUUGAAGUAUGUUUCAACCAAAGAUUAUAACAAUUACCAAAAUAAAUUCACUUUUAUAACAGUUUCUGCUUCAAAUUUUUUCAAUUUAGUGUAUACCCAUAUGAUUGAUGUGUAAAUAUCGAUUGUUGUUUGUUAAAUAAUUUGUCAAUUACUUUGAAUUACAAUUUAUCAGUUCAAAUAUGCUGCCUUAUUAUUGACAAAUAAAUUUGUCAAUUACAAUUGAUGACGGGAAAGGGGCCACAGGUUAAACCUGACAAGGUCAGGAGAACUGAAAAUAACCACUUAAGAUGGGGUGAAUAUAAAAAAAUUCACAGCUGAGGUGGGCCAUGGCUGGAAGUCACAUCUUUAGCCAGAAGCUUGCUUCAUAAAGUCAGUCUUCACCUGAAGUGAGCCUUUCUAUUGUCUUUUUGCACCUAAGAUGACAUCCUUGGAAUGUCAGUCAUCCCUUUUUCCAGACCAGAGCAGGAAAGUACAGAAUCCCUCAUUAUUCUUCUUGUCCCUUGAUUAACAUCUCUAUGUGAA